UUCUGUUUUAAUGUAAAAAACACAGUUCAUAACAUACUCGAUUUUUAUGUAGUCAUCCCUGCACCGUACAUGACAAGAACCUAUAGAAGAGACAGUGUUAAAUGGUUGUUUAUGUGGUCGGGAAAAUUAUGUUUUUACUAUUAUUGGGUUUUGUUUUUAUUAUUCAAUUUACAUGUUUUUUAUGUUUGUUUUAUGUAAAGCACAAUGAGGUGCCCCUGGGCAUGAAAUGCACUAUAUAAAUGAAGCUGCCUUGCCUUGCCUAGGUGUGAAGGAUGUUGAUGGCUUGCAGGUCAAAGCUUUGGUAUUGUAACUUUUUCAGUGGAAUCCCGCACAUUAUGAAGUGCUGUUUGGUGUUGUGCAUGAACACCAUCACUGGUUCCUGGUUGUAAUAUAUCCAUCGGAAAAAAAGACACUCCUGUUGGAUUCACUUGGAGAAACUGCUGCCAAGCUGAAAAAGGGCCAGGAUGUAACAAGAGCAUUCAUGAGGAAGAAAGGGAUAAAUGUGUCCAGAUGGAAAAGCGACACAGUGCCUCAUCCACACCAACCAGACAGCACCUCUUG